rnacentral:lncRNA from 1 species
UCUCAUAUUGUCACACUAUGUGUUCUGACUUCUGGCUCCUUUCCUCACAAGAAGCUCACCCAGCUGGAACUCUUAUGGGACCUUGGCACCAGAGACCACAAAUUCCUCUUUGAAGUUUUCUAACAGCAACAAUGGUAUUUCUGACUUGGCUUUCUUGUAUUUCUCUCACGUUAACAAAAUUGGUUCAGCAUCUACCAUGGGCUACAUGCUGAGCUACAGAGUUUCGCUCUGUCGCCCAGGCUGGAGUGCAGUGGCGCGCGAUCUCGGUUCACUGCAAGCUCCACCUCCCGGGUUCACGCCAUUCUCCUGCCUCAGCCUCCUGAGUAGCUGGGACUACAGGCGCCCGCCACCACACCCAGAUACAUGAAAAGAAAGAAGGAGAGAAGGAAGAAAGGAGGGCGGAAGGAAAGGAAGAAGGGAGAGAAGAAGAGAAGAAAGAAGCAGAGAAAGGAAGAGAAAAGAAAUUACGGCCAGUGCGGUGGCUCACGCCUGUAAUCCUAGCACUUUGGGAGGCCUAAGCGGGCUGAUCACCUGAGAUGGAUAAACAGAGGCAACCCGAGGAUAAAGGCCUUGCUCAGUGUCACACAUUUCAGUCACUAAAUAAGACACAAUGGAUGCCAGUAUUCUCAUCCCCUCACAAAUAAAGAGCCUUCAAGCUCUUGCAGUCAACAAGAACUUUUGGAAUGAUUUCACUGCCUGAAAAGGCAGAUACAUAGGUGACACCCACAAAUAGGAAGAAAAUCAACCUGAACCUGAGUGUGUGGGCUCACUGACUCUAAGCAGUAGAGACAGAAGAAAAAGUUUUAGCAAAGAAGGGUUCUGAAAGAAAAUAAAUAUAGCUCGUUAUCAAGUGCUGUUUUUACACAGUAAAACAUGGGCAAAAUUACUCUUCUUUAAGUAGUAAUUCUUAUCUCUUGAUUAAGUCACCUACUCAUUCAUUUAAUAAAUACAUACUGAUUGUUUUCUA